CUUGACCGCGCCAAAGUGUCAUGGCCCCCGGCUGUUUGAUGUCGCUUGUUUCGCUAACUGAUUUGUGUCAAUUCAUCGGCCUAACGGGAAUGUUAUAAAUAUAAUUAUAUGAAAAGGACAAGAUGGAUAUCGGGCAUUAUAUUGUGAUGCAUGGUAAUGUAUGACAUUGUUAUAUAAAUGUGUUUCGGGCGUGAACUCUACAAGGGAGCUGGUCUCAUUUUUUGACACUCUCAGUCGGAAACGACGUACGAAAGACUGGAAUCGCCUGGACCGUAACAUUGCCCCCUUCCUCAGAGAAGUUCGUCCCGAACGCUAAAACGGUUAUCCAACACACACUGACUCUGACGUGAUUGACUUUGCCAAUGUUAUCUUCCAUGUGAUGACUGGAAAUAAGGAAAGAACAACUCACUUCUGCAGUGGUAAACGUGGAUAUUAUUGUCACAAGAUUAAUUUUUAUUUUAAUACAGAUUUCGACACGGAUGACAAUGAUGAUGAUGAAGAUGAUGAUGACGACGAUGACGAUAUUGAUGAUAAAAGUAGAUCUUGGAUUAUGGAAACUGGUGUCUUCGUCUUCUCUGGUGAAAUUGGUGAUUUCUCUGACAACACUGGUGUUUUUUCUGACGAAAUUGGUUUUUUCUGUAAAGGAACCGAUGUCUUGUCUGAUGCAGCUGAUAUCUUCUGUACGGUAUCGGGUAUCUUCUUUAAUGUAAUUUUUGGUAUUGUAGGAACUGGUAAUUUAACUUUAGGAUGAAUAUAAUUUUUAUUUGACUGAAUAGGUGGGGCAGGCGGGUCAAUCGAUAGUUUCAGGUGCUUCAUCCCAUUGUAUGGUUUUUCUGGUAUCGUACGCUUUCGAAACGGGGCUUGUGGAUGCUUAUCUGUAGGUAAAGAUUGUCGUGUAAUUAUUAAUGCACUUCUCCUUCCACAGAAAGCUUUAUAUUCAUCCUCGUCGUUUUGAUUGAAGGUCAUGGUUGCUUUAUUGAUCAGUUUCAUCCUGGCAGUUCCAGGACAUUUUGGAUGUUUUACGUCCGCUCUCGCGGCCAGUCCAAAACAGUGCGUGCACUGAUAGCCAAAGUUACUAUGACAUGAAGUGACAUGCCUCUCCGCAUACUGAUAUUUGGCGAAUUCUGCGUUCAUACAUAGUUUACACCCAUAAAAAAAAAAUAAAAAUAAAGAGUUGAUAAUUUAUGACAUCUUUAACCAAUUGGGUAUAUUAUUUCCCGUAUACGGUUUCAGAUGAUUAUGGUGGACCACUUUAGGUUGGGUCUUUGGGGAUUUUUGUAUUUUAUAGACUACAUUAUUAAGACAUUUUGUCACCAGGUAGAGUCCCUCCCAUGGACACCUUAACUUUGAACCUCCACCUUUGUAUUUGUGGUUAUAAUACCAUACAGGACUGCCGGCAUUGUAUGGAUUUAAUUGAAUAGAUCUAUCGUGAUCAACUUUCAUGUUUGCCGUGGCUUGUUUUAAACGCCCUCUAGCAAAACUAUGUAUUCGUUCUAUUUUAUUUUGUAAGUCAAAAGCAUAGUCUGACUUUAUUUUUAAAUUUGUAGGUUCCACUGAUCCGAGAAUGAGAUCUACUGGAAGACGGAUGUUGCGGCUGAAGACCAUUUCACAUGGAGAAACGCCCAGUGAUUCGUGUUCUGCAGAACGAUACGCUGACAUGAGAAGGGAAGAGGAAGAUAAUGGAUUUUUGUUUAAUCGGUCUAUUGGAGCACUUGUGCAAGCCAAAACAUUAAGGUUUUCAUUGGAGGUUUGCUUGUUGGAGCCUCUGGAAGACUUUUUCUAAAUUGGAUAAGUGCUCGUCAAAGGAUUUUGCAAAGAUAAUGAUAUCAUCCAGGGGGACGCGACGAAGAUGCUGACGAAUUGGUGGAGCGCAACCAGUAUUAAUCCAAUGCUCAGCUUCAUUGGUGAUGCCUAUAUCAGAUGAAUCUUUGGAAAAGGAGCUACGUGAUGAUUGCUGCAAUGGUUGUCCCUUAUUUAGGGUAUUUAUCAAGUGUUUGGUAGUUUUAUCCAAUGAUGUGAUUGAACCAUUCAAGAUUUUUCCGUUGAUCCAAAACGAAUACUUAGGAGGGUUGUGAGGGUAUGGAAAUCCGUUCUCUGGAUAGUAUUUAAUUCUGACAAGAUUGUCCUGGCGUUUCCAGACAAACUACUGGCUAGUUCCUGAGACAUCACCAUCAACUGAUUCUACCGAGGGCAUAUCCGGAUCAGUGUCUGGGAUAAUUUCGAACUCUGGGGACAAGGAUUUGGUGGCCAUUUUUAUAGAUGUAUUUAGAAUCUAUUACUACUAUUAUUAAUAUUAAUAAAGGAACCUAAUUCAUUUAUUUA